UACGUAGGGUGCAAGCGUUGUCCGGAAUUAUUGGGCGUAAAGAGCUCGUAGGCGGUCUGUCGCGUCUGCUGUGAAAACUCAGGGCUUAACCCUGAGCUUGCAGUGGGUACGGGCAGACUAGAGUGCGGUAGGGGAGACUGGAAUUCCUGGUGUAGCGGUGAAAUGCGCAGAUAUCAGGAGGAACACCGGUGGCGAAGGCGGGUCUCU
rnacentral:rRNA from 1 species